rnacentral:snoRNA from 2 species
UUAGCACUUUCACAGGUCCUCCCCUAGACAGUGGGGCCGGGAUUUGGUAGCUGGUGCUGAAAGAAAACCUUGAUUGCAUUCUUGCCCAGGUAUUAUACCAGUGGCAGCUGUCACUCAGUGGGACAGAC